UACGUAGGGUGCAAGCGUUAAUCGGAAUUACUGGGCGUAAAGCGUGCGCAGGCGGUUAUGCAAGACAGAUGUGAAAUCCCCGGGCUUAACCUGGGAACCGCAUUUGUGACUGCAUAGCUGGAGUACGGCAGAGGGGGAUGGAAUUCCGCGUGUAGCAGUGAAAUGCGUAGAUAUGUGGAGGAAUACCGAUGGCGAAGGCAGCCCCCUGGGAUAACACUGACGCCUCAUGCACGAAAGCGUGGGGAGCAAACAGG
rnacentral:rRNA from 1 species